ACGCAGAGGAGACUGGACAGUGCCAUAGUGCUUCAUGGGAUACAAUCCAUGGGAAGGCCUGAGUCCCUGAUCAGAUUUCCCACACAGCCUGGAUGCUUACAUGGAACUUUCCCCUGACCUGGAAGCAACUGAAAGUGCAGGAAAUGGAGGCUUGGCCCACGAGUGAGAAGCGGGAGUCACAGCUGUAGGUGACAGAAGAGCCAUAUGUGUACAAUUCUGCUUGAGAGCUGUGCCUUCCAUUUUUGAUGUCUGGAGGGGGCUCACACUUGACAACUGAGAUCUGUGAAGACAAGCAUAAUAAAAGAUUCAAAACAACUUAUCAAGAAAGUAGACCUGGCUGGGCACAGUGGCUCAUGCUUGUAAUUCCAGCAGUUUGGAAGGCCAGAGAAAGAGAAUCUAUUGAGCCCAGGUGUUCUUGACCAGCCUGAGCA